GUGCUCGCUUCGGCAGCAUGUAUACUAAGAUUGGAGCGAUACAGAGAAGACUAGCACAACCCUGCGCAAGCAUGACACGCAAAUCCGCGACCACUCCCAAAGAGAA
rfam:Erinaceus europaeus unplaced genomic scaffold scaffold00090, whole genome shotgun sequence